UCGAAGCGCGUCUCUCUUUUGAGCGCCCAUGUUAGUUUGCGUCUCUUCUUGUUGUGAUCACAUCGGUCUUGGAAAAAUUUUAAGAUUUUGAAGAAAAUGGCAGAUAUUCUUGAAGAAUCAGAGUGAUUUGCCCUCAAAAAGAUGCAGUAAGUAUUUUUCGCAUAUAAAUAUGCAACUUUGGUCCUGGGUGAGGACUAGUUUCUCAUCCCAAGCAAACAACGCAAAUACAGCUUGAUAGCUAAUUAUAGAAAAUUAUUCUUUUAUUCCAGGCUAAUGUGAGCUAUACAAAAUUUCAUACCUCGAUUGUCGCAUUGGAACUGUGGAUUGAUAAUUAUAUGGCAGCUUAAACUGCGCGUGGAAAAAUGGAGUACAGGAAAAUUAAAGAUAUUUGCAUGCGGACCAAAACGUUCACUUCUAUAUAUCAAAGAUCCUGGGUAGUUUGCGGACGACGCUAAUUUUCCAAUGAAAGGCAAUAAAUUUGUUUGAAAACUCCG